UGAGAUUUGUUUGCCGGGGUUUAUAUAUAUGGGGUUUUUUUUCGUAGGAUGAACGCUGGCGGCGUGCCUAAUACAUGCAAGUCGAGCGAAUGGAUUAAGAGCUUGCUCUUAUGAAGUUAGCGGCGGACGGGUGAGUAACACGUGGGUAACCUGCCCAUAAGACUGGGAUAACUCCGGGAAACCGGGGCUAAUACCGGAUAACAUUUUGAACCGCAUGGUUCGAAAUUGAAAGGCGGCUUCGGCUGUCACUUAUGGAUGGACCCGCGUCGCAUUAGCUAGUUGGUGAGGUAACGGCUCACCAAGGCAACGAUGCGUAGCCGACCUGAGAGGGUGAUCGGCCACACUGGGACUGAGACACGGCCCAGACUCCUACGGGAGGCAGCAGUAGGGAAUCUUCCGCAAUGGACGAAAGUCUGACGGAGCAACGCCGCGUGAGUGAUGAAGGCUUUCGGGUCGUAAAACUCUGUUGUUAGGGAAGAACAAGUGCUAGUUGAAUAAGCUGGCACCUUGACGGUACCUAACCAGAAAGCCACGGCUAACUACGUGCCAGCAGCCGCGGUAAUACGUAGGUGGCAAGCGUUAUCCGGAAUUAUUGGGCGUAAAGCGCGCGCAGGUGGUUUCUUAAGUCUGAUGUGAAAGCCCACGGCUCAACCGUGGAGGGUCAUUGGAAACUGGGAGACUUGAGUGCAGAAGAGGAAAGUGGAAUUCCAUGUGUAGCGGUGAAAUGCGUAGAGAUAUGGAGGAACACCAGUGGCGAAGGCGACUUUCUGGUCUGUAACUGACACUGAGGCGCGAAAAGAACGC
rnacentral:rRNA from 1 species